AUUAUAUAUUAUAAUAAUAAGUUAUGUAUUAUAAUUAUUAUUAUUUUAAGUUUAAAAACGAUUAUUAUACAAUGUUAUUCUAUUUUUAAUAUUGGUUUUUUUUUCGAUACUAUAAUAUCAUAAUAUCUCUAAAGUUACAUUAUUUUAAUAUAUUGUACUGUAAGCAGUGCGGGGGCGGAUCCAGGCCAAGAUAACGGAGAAGGUUAUGCAAUAAACAUUAUAAGAGUUCAAUGAUGAAUCAAGCUAGGGGUAUAUUGGGCACCAAGAGUAUAUCGGAGAAUGAACACGGGGCGUUUGACUUCCCCUACCUCCCUCCCUGGAUCCACCACCAUGACACUGCCGUUUACAGUUUUUCGUAAUUUAAUAUUGUAAGUCUCACGUGUAUAUUUCAGUUUUAAAACGAUUUUUAAUACUUCCUGUAGCGUUUUUAACACGACCUAAAAAUGUACCUA